AUACCAUGAUGUGGGAACUUUCUUAACAACUCUUUAAAUCUUCCCAUGCAUCAUACAAUGAUUCCCCUUCCAUUCGAUAGAAAUUAUUAAUUUCCUCUCUCAACUU